CCUACGGGUGGCAGCAGUGGGGAAUAUUGGGCAAUGGGCGCAAGCCUGACCCAGCAAUGCCGCGUGAAGGAAGAAGGCCUUCGGGUUGUAAACUUCUUUUGACAGGGAAGAGCAGAAGACGGUACCUGUCGGAUAAGCCACGGCUAACUACGUGCCAGCAGCCGCGGUAAUACGUAGGUGGCAAGCGUUGUCCGGAUUUACUGGGUGUAAAGGGCGUGAAGCCGGGCUGACAAGUCAGAUGUGAAAGCCGGGGGCUUAACCCCCGAACUGCAUUUGAUACUGGUGGGCGUGAGUAUCGGAGGGGGAGGCGGAAUUCCUAGUGGAGCGGUGAAAUGCGUAGAUAUGAGGAGGAACACCAGUGGCGAAGGCGGCCUGCUGGACGACAACUGACGGUGAGGCGCGAAAGCGUGGGGAGCAAACAGGAUUAGAUACCCCUGUAGUC
rnacentral:rRNA from 1 species